CACUUUGGUACACACCCACCACACCUGUAGCUAUUUGCAUUAAUGAGGCUUGGGCUGGCUGAUCACAGUGGUUGCGAGGUAGUUACUGAUUGCUUCCACAGCCAGCUUUUCCUCUGGUUGAAAUUGGCAAAAAGAAGCCACUUUUUCAUCAGACUGGUGUAUUGGAUGCUGGAUUCCUGUGAAAUUCAUUCAGAAAGCCUGUAAAUGUGACAAUGAGGAUACUGGAAGCCUACAGGAGGAGUGAAGCAGGAAGAGAGAGGUGCAUGAUACCACAGCAGGGGGUAUGCCUACAGAUGGAGUCAGUGAAGCUGGAGAAUAUGUGACCAUGUUAAUGUUGCUUAGGCUGUCAAGUGUGGUGGUCUUGACUACAAGCCAGCAGCUAUGCUGGAGAUACUCACAGAUAAUGGCCAUCAUUGAGUUGAAGUUUCCGAUGUUGAAGCACUCUCGUGCCACAUCAAUAAA